rnacentral:tRNA from 1 species
GCGGCCUUGGCCUAGUGGUCGGGCAGCAGCCUUCCAAGCUGUUUACGCGGGUUCGAUUCCCGCAGGCCGCUCCA